ACUGCUCUAAUUUGCUUCAAGCUUGGGCUGCAUUUGUCUACUAAUUCUUGGGUUUGGUUUCCUUCUUUGGUGGAGGUACAGACACAACCAGCAAAUUUUCUUUGACGUCAACGAGCAACAUCAUGAGGAGGUUUGCCUUGGAAACCUGAGGAGAUUUCAAUUUAGAGAGCUUCAAAUGGCAACAAACAACUUCAGCAGCAAGUACUUGGUUGAAAAAGGUGGUUUUGGAAAUGUCUACAAAGGCUGUCUCAGAGAUGGUACAGUAGUAGCAGUUAAAAGGCUUAAAGAUGGUAAAGCCAUUGGUGGUGAGAUUCAAUUCCAAACUGAAGUUGAGAUGAUCAGGCUGGCAGUUCACAUGAACCUUCUUUAGCUUUUUGGGUUUUGUAUGACGACCUCUGAGAGGCUCUUAGUUUACCUCUAUAUGGUAAUGCCAUGGAGCAAGUUUCAUGCAUGAUUUACUUUUGUGUAUCUUGUAAUGUUUCUGUUUUUCAUUUUUGAAGUAAAAAAUGUUCAAGAUUAUAAAACUUUAUUAUGUUAUGCUUUCAAACUUAAGUUAGAACUAAGAUCUCAUGAAGUAGACACAUUCAUGGUUUGAAUUAGUUAUUGUUUAAUGUAAUACUUAUGGUUUAUCAAUCUAUUGAGAAUUACAUUUUAUGAUUAA